rnacentral:rRNA from 1 species
UUCCUACGGGGGGCAGCAGUGGGGAAUAUUGCACAAUGGGCGAAAGCCUGAUGCAGCAACGCCGCGUGCGGGAUGAAGGCCUUCGGGUUGUAAACCGCUUUCACCAGGGACGAAGUUGACGGUACCUGGAGAAGAAGCACCGGCUAACUACGUGCCAGCAGCCGCGGUGAUACGUAGGGUGCGAGCGUUGUCCGGAUUUAUUGGGCGUAAAGAGCUCGUAGGCGGUUUGUUGCGUCGGAAGUGAAAACCCAGGGCUUAACUUUGGGCUUGCUUUCGAUACGGGCAGACUUGAGGAAGGUAGGGGAGAACGGAAUUCCUGGUGGAGCGGUGGAAUGCGCAGAUAUCAGGAGGAACACCGGUGGCGAAGGCGGUUCUCUGGACCUUUCCUGACGCUGAGGAGCGAAAGCGUGGGGAGCAAACAGGCUUAGAUACCCCGGUAGUCCA